GCUCAGUCGUGUCCGACUCUUAGCGACCCCAUGGACUGCAGCCUACCAGGUUCCUCCGUCCAUGGGAUUUUCCAGGCAAGACUACUGGAGUGGGGUGCCAUUGCCUUCUCCUCCCUUAAUUCCCCACCAGCUUCUUGAGAUAAGGUCUCUCAUCACCAUCUGAGAGAAGAGAGCACUGGAGCUUGGGGAUACAAAGAAAGUUGUCAAACAAAUAAGAGGAGCCUGAAUUUGAACCUUGCGUUUUCUGAUUCCAAAGCCAGCCUGGUCCCACCACCACAUUCCAUGGAUGAGGAAACCAGAGCAGUGGAAUGUGAUCUCAUGGCAGUAACAGAGUUGGGUCUCAUCAGCCUUAUCCGUCUUCUUCUCAGCACACCUGGCAGACCUCAUCUCUUAGGGUUGGGAUUCUCCUCUGUUCCAUCAGAUGAAAAGUAGUCAGCAUUGUGGAUGACGUCCCCUUCCCCCACCCAUGACUCUGUAGUCAUGAGAACUUUUGGUUGCAAUUCACCCCAGCCAUUGAUGUCUACCUCCUGGUCCUUGUUCAGAAUCCACCAUGCCCAUCAUCCAGGCUCUGACAAAAGUUGUUCAUAAGUGAUACCAUUUGAUUCUUUGAUUUUUCCCUAACUUGCAAGAAGAUAGGAGCCCAGGUAAAUGAUAAAUAGGCAUCCGCUUCGAGGAUACUAGAAACAGGGCCCUGGGGCAUCCUGAGUGCCACAUGUGGAGGCUCCCUAUGUCGCUACAAAGGCCAGAACCUACAGUUGCCCGCACCCCUACCCCCUAACCCCAGUGUCCCUGCAGCCUCCAUCCUGUUUCUUACACUCUGUACUCCAGCGCCUUUGGAAAUCCAUUUGCUUCAGUGCUGUCACUGAUGUUCAUUUUAAGUUGUGUGUAGAAAUAUAUCAUGGAUGCAAACCCUGCCAUAGGGAUUAGUUCUAAAUCUUUGUAGAAAACAGAGCAUCAGGGGCAUAGGAGGGAGGAAUAACUGUAAGAUGCCUGCUCUACAUAGUUAUUGCAUUUAAUCCUCACAACUCUAGGAGGUGGGUGUUCCUCCCAUUUUCCAGAGAAGAUUGGGAGAUUCGCACUGGGGUAGGGAGGUUUUCUCAUCAAGGUUUCCCAGCUAGCGAGCAGUAAAGCCAGGAUUAUAAUUCAGAUUUCUCUCCAGAACCAAUACUCUUUGCUCUUUACUGUGUAUCAGCUAGAGCAUCUUGCAGGGAGGGGAUAAUAUGACUCCUGAACUAGAAGGAUUUCUGUGCGUGGCAUGUGGAGCCAUAGAAUGGGGUCUGAAUCCUGGUCCAGCAGAAUCCUAUUUGUGUGUUCUCUCUGUGCUCUCUCUUCUUUUCCAAAAUCUCUCAAUAAUAGUUGAAACACAUUAGGUGACCUAUUUUUCUGAUCUCUAAUAAGCCCUACCAUUAUUAAUUCCUUGACUCAAUCAAGGACCUUAUAAUGGUACCCACAGGAGAAGGUGGAGCCAGAGGGAGAGAGUGGCUGUCAGGAACUCUACUCACCUGGGCCAGCCUGGCAACAAGUGUGCCGUGUUAGGAAUCAGGCAAGGUUGUUAGAGAAGGCCCAGCGCGCAUGCGCCUGAGAAGCCGGAAGACGCUAUAGCCGCCAUGAUGCUUCUUGGAGCAGUUCUGCUGUGUGAGUGAGAAGUUAGUCUCCGGUGGUUAGCUGGGGAGCCGGAAGUGAUUUUCUGCAGAUUUGGUUUGAGAUCUGACUCCUCAAGGCCUGGAAGAGACAUUUGUUCAGAUGCAAACAUUGCAGUAAAGGAUCCCAAGUUCCAGCCUGUCUCAACUAUACCCGAAUAACAUCCAACAGAAAGGUUUUGAAGGCCUUUGGGAAUAUUAGAGCCUAUGUCUCCCACCCAUAUUGGUUGUGUAAUUGGCCUCUCUCUCUUUAGAGACACUAAGCCCUCUCAUUAAAUAGAAAAUAAAAAUAUAUUAAAAAAAAAA